CUCCUUUCCACCAAGGAUGCCGUCCUGACCCUAAACCAGUGCUUGUCAUCGGUGAUGGAAUGGAUGAGGGCUAAUAAGUUGAAACUAAAUCCAGACAAGACAGCCAGAAGGUGGAUCAGUUCCUAAAAUGGAAAAAAAAAUCAAACACAACUA
rnacentral:lncRNA from 11 species